GGGAAGGAAAACAUUGAGAGAAUCUUAGAGAAGUUAGAAGCUGAUGGAUGCAGACUGGCUGAAAGCUAUGAAUCUUUCAGUCGAGUGUCAAUCCGACGUCUUGGCCGACUGCUUCCAGAUGCUUGCUGGGGUUUGCUUCCAUUCAUGGAGAGACAUAAGAAAGGAGAUAAAGCUCACUUAUUCAGGAGAUCUUUCUUUAGAGUUAAAUGUUUUAUUGAGACUGAUGCUGGAUUUUCUCCAACACCUUCCAAGUAUUGCUGUCUGUUACAACCGGCAGUGAAGAAAUAUUCAAGGAAGAGCUCCAAACAGAAAAAAGGGAGCUCAGAGUUGCAGAACCAGUGCCUCAGCUUUGUGCGGCUGGUUCCCAACUAGAGAAUUUCGUCUUCGAAAUUGUGGAUACAGAGGGUAAUCUCGAUGAGAAUAUCCACAAUGAUGAGGAAAAUGGCCAUUUUCAUACACUUUCCAUAAAACUGGACUCAUCCGUAAGAAAAACAACCACUUUAUAUGCUUUCCGAAAGGGGCGAUGCACUAUUCCUUCACUUACUGUCCCUCGAGAUGCUGGUUGCUUUAGCUUUUCUGCUGUUCAUUCUCGUCACCGAGAGUUAUCUUUGAGCAUCAAGAUUGGCAUUCAGCCUUCUUCAGAUUUGCAGCAUGAGAUUCAAACCUUGUGUCCAAAUACAAAUAUAAUGAUGCUACAGGACAAAUCAACCCCUAAUAAUAUAGCGAAUGUACUUUCCAUCAUCAAGAAUGAGGUUCUUGAGGAAACUGCUUUGUGCAUUGAACAUCGGGAAAGGGUUCUUGAGGAAACUGGUUUGCGCAUUGAACAUCGGGAAAGGGUACUGAAGUUGCUGCAUGACCGGAAGGUUGAAAUAGAGCAAUCUUUGGUGGAGUUAGGAGGGCCUUCCCCUUUGAACAUUGUGGACUGCUUUUUCGCCAAAGAGGAAAUGAUAGACAUGAUAGAAAACAGAGAUGGCUCGGAGCUGCAUUUUCCAUUUUGGAGGAUCUUAGCCAAGUAUCUGGGUGAAGAUCAAAUGCUCGGGAUCGUGUGCACAAACUCCGAGACGGCAUUUAGUCUCGAGACAUAUGACAAAAAUGGAGAAGUUGAUAUCCAAAAUGCUGCUCGUGCAAAAGCAGCUGAACUUGGCAAGUCUAUUAGUGGUGAAUUUCGUGUCAUAUGUCUUGAGGAAAUAAGCCCAUACAGAGGAGAGAUUGAAGGCUGCGAUCCUCAAAGGAAACUGGCUUUUCCUCAUCCUACCUUACCUAGUGGAGAAAUCCCUCCAGGCUUCAUGGGAUAUGCAGUUAACAUGGUCGACAUAGACUUUGAUCAUUUGGCAACAAGAACAACUGAAGGCCUUGGUCUACGAGAAACACUAUUUUAUCGGCUUUUUGGCAAGUUGCAGGUUUAUGACACCAGAGAACACAUGAAGCAGGCCUGUGUCUGCAUAGAUCACGGUGCUGUAUCACUGGAUGGUGGAAUAAUACGAGAGGACGGCUUGAUUUCUCUAGGCUUCUGGAAGCCAGACAUAAUCUUUCCUGUUGUCACAUCUGAAAUUCAUAUAAAUACUUCGCCGGAGAGUACACAAGUAGGGAUGCAGAUUGCAGAGGCUAUGUUGGAGUUGAGAGUGACCCUAUGCAAGAUACGUAAGAUUACGAGAGCUUGCGAGGAAGAAAAGCGGCAAUUUUUGGGGAAGACUAAGGACUUUGUCAGUAAUGGACACAGCCGAGGCUUUAAUGAAAAAUCACUGUCCGAAGGUGGAAUUCUGCCCGGAUAAUUAUGUCUACCCCACCAUUUCCUCGUGAAUUAUUUCAAGUUUUAUAUUUCCAGCCUUGGAAACAUGGGAUAAUUGUCUAUGCCGAGUAAAUGAAAGAGAACGAGAGAAUCACUCAAGUGUGUUUUUUGCAGCUACCAAUUUUUUGGAAUUGAAACUGUUACCGGUACAUCGGAUUGUGGAGAGGCCAAAGUGAAGGAGUGAACGGAGACAUGGAAAAGGGAGCAACUGAAGGAGUGCAGAGAAAAGAAACGUUUGGCGACGUCACGAGAAAAAAAAAAGUUUUGUUUUGUUCUAGCACACUUAUAAUCUUCAAAAUUACGUGAGUAUCGUUAUUUUUUCUU